UCGGCGAGCGGCGAACGGCUGAGUAACGCGUAGGAAUUUGCCCCAAAGUGAGGGAUAACUGCCCGAAAGGGUAGCUAAUACCGCAUAUGGUCUUCGGAUUAAAGGAUUUAUCAUGCUUUGGGAGAAGCCUGCGUUGGAUUAGGUAGUUGGUAGGGUAAUGGCCUACCAAGCCGACGAUCCAUAGCUGGUCUGAGAGGAUGAUCAGCCAGACUGGAACUGAGACACGGUCCAGACUCCUACGGGAGGCAGCAGUGAGGAAUCUUCCACAAUGGGCGAAAGCCUGAUGGAGCAACGCCGCGUGAAGGAUGAAGGCCUUCGGGUUGUAAACUUCUUUUAUGAGUGAAGAAUAUGACGGUAACUCAUGAAUAAGCACCGGCUAACUACGUGCCAGCAGCCGCGGUCAUACGUAGGGUGCGAGCAUUAUCCGGAGUGACUGGGCGUAAAGAGUUGCGUAGGCGGUUUAAUAAGUGAAUAGUGAAACCUGGUGGCUCAACCAUACAGACUAUUAUUCAAACUGUUAAACUCGAGAAUGGUAGAGGUAACUGGAAUUUCUUGUGUAGGAGUGAAAUCCGUAGAUAUAAGAAGGAACACCGAUGGCGUAGGCAGGUUACUGGGCCAUUUCUGACGCUAAGGCACGAAAGCGUGGGGAGCGAACCGGAUUAGAUACCCGGGUAGUCCACGCCGUAAACGAUGGAUACUAGCUGUUGGAGGUAUCGACCCCUUCAGUAGCGAAGCUAACGCGUUAAGUAUCCCGCCUGUGGAGUACGGCCGCAAGGCUAAAACAUAAAGGAAUUGACGGGGACCCGCACAAGCGGUGGAUUAUGUUCUUUAAUUCGAUGAUAACCGAAGAACCUUACCAGGGCUUGACAUCCAGGGAAGGUCUAUGAAAGUAGACUGUGCCUUUUGGAACCCUGUGACAGGUGAUGCAUGGCCGUCGUCAGCUCGUGUCGUGAGAUGUUAGGUUAAGUCCUUCAACGAGCGCAACCCUUGUGAAUAGUUGUAUUUUUCUAUUCAGACUGCCCCGGUAACGGGGAGGAAGGAGGGGAUGAUGUCAGGUCAGUAUUUCCCUUACGUCCUGGGCUAGAAACGUAAUACAAUGGCUAGUACAAUGCGCAGCGAAGCCGCGAGGUGAAGCAAAUCGCAUCAAAGCUAGUCCCAGUUCGGAUUGCAGGCUGAAACUCGCCUGCAUGAAGUCGGAAUCGCUAGUAAUCGCAAAUCAGCAAGUUGCGGUGAAUACGUUCCCGGGUCUUGUACACACCG
rnacentral:rRNA from 1 species